UACGAAGGGGGCUAGCGUUGCUCGGAAUCACUGGGCGUAAAGGGUGCGUAGGCGGGUCUUUAAGUCAGGGGUGAAAUCCUGGAGCUCAACUCCAGAACUGCCUUUGAUACUGAAGAUCUUGAGUUCGGGAGAGGUGAGUGGAACUGCGAGUGUAGAGGUGAAAUUCGUAGAUAUUCGCAAGAACACCAGUGGCGAAGGCGGCUCACUGGCCCGAUACUGACGCUGAGGCACGAAAGCGUGGGGAGCAAACAGGAUUAGAUGACCCGUA
rnacentral:rRNA from 1 species